rnacentral:rRNA from 1 species
CCUACGGGUGGCAGCAGUGAGGAAUAUUGGUCAAUGGACGAGAGUCUGAACCAGCCAAGUAGCGUGAAGGAUGACUGCCCUAUGGGUUGUAAACUUCUUUUAUCUGGGAAUAAAAUGUUCCACGUGUGGGAUUUUGUAUGUACCAUAUGAAUAAGGAUCGGCUAACUCCGUGCCAGCAGCCGCGGUAAUACGGAUGAUCCGAGCGUUAUCCGGAUUUAUUGGGUUUAAAGGGAGCGUAGGUGGAUUGUUAAGUCAGGUGUGAAAGUUUGCGGCUCAACCGUAAAAUUGCAGUUGAAACUGGCAGUCUUGAGUACAGUAGAGGUGGGCGGAAUUCGUGGUGUAGCGGUGAAAUGCUUAGAUAUCACGAAGAACUCCGAUUGCGAAGGCAGUUCACUGGACUGCAACUGACACUGAGGCUCGAAAGUGUGGGUAUCAAACAGGAUUAGAUACCCCUGUAGUC